rfam:Sulfurimonas sp. GWF2_37_8 gwf2_scaffold_994, whole genome shotgun sequence.
GUAGAGCUUUCGUGUGCCGGUGUUUUCGUUUGAGAUACGUUGACUCUGUCGAGAAAAUGUCGCCGUUAGAAAGUUCUUGCUUCGCCUAAAUACGGCUUUUAGAACUAAGCCAAUAACGAGACGGCUAUCUGGGU